CCGUCAAUUCCUUUGAGUUUUAGUCUUGCGACCGUAGUCCCCAGGCGGAGCACUUAACGCGUUAGCUGCGGCACAGCAGGAAUGAGUACCCGCUACACCUAGUGCUCAUCGUUUACAGCGUGGACUACCAGGGUAUCUAAUCCUGUUUGCUCCCCACGCUUUCGCGUCUCAGCGUCAGUAACCGUCCAGAAGGGCGCCUUCGCCACUGGUAUUCCUCCCGAUCUCUACGAAUUUCACCUCUACACCGGGAAUUCCCCCUUCCUCUCCAGUACUCAAGAAAGACAGUUUCCAAUGCACUUCCCAGGUUGAGCCCAGGGCUUUCACAUCAGACUUAUCCCCCCGCCUACACGCGUUUUACGCCCAGUAAUUCCGAAUAACGCUCGCACCCUCCGUAUUACCGCGGCUGCUGGCACGGAGUUAGCCGGUGCUUCCUCUGGUGGUACCGUCAAAUCCCACCCCUUUCCUGAUGAGACCCUUCUUCCCACCUGACAGGGCUUUACGACCCGAAGGCCUUCUUCACCCACGCGGCGUUGCUGCGUCAGGAUUGCUCCCAUUGCGCAAAAUUCCUCACUGCUGCCUCCCGUAGGAGU
rnacentral:rRNA from 1 species